CUGAAUAACUCAGCUGAUCGCACGGUCUUGCACCGGCGACGCAUCUUUCAAGUGUCUGCCUUAUCAACUGUUGAUGGUAGUUUAUGCGACUACCAUGGUUGUAACGGGUAACGGAGAAUAAGGGUUCGACUCCGGAGAGGGAGCCUGAGAAACGGCUACCACAUCCAAGGAAGGCAGCAGGCGCGUAAAUUACCCACUCUCGGCACGAGGAGGUAGUGACGAAAAAUAACGAGACGGUUCUCAUUGAGGCCCGUUAUCGGAAUGAGUACAAUCCAAACCCUUUAACAAGGAUCUAUCAGAGGGCAAGUCUGGUGCCAGCAGCCGCGGUAAUUCCAGCUCUGAAGGUGUAUACCACCGUUGUUGCGUUUAAAAC
rnacentral:rRNA from 1 species